rnacentral:rRNA from 1 species
UACGGGAGGCAGCAGUGGGGAAUAUUGCACAAUGGGCGAAAGCCUGAUGCAGCUAUGCCGCGUGUAUGAAGAAGGCCUUAGGGUUGUAAAGUACUUUCAGUCGUGAGGAAGGUGUUAAGGUUAAUAACCUUAGCAAUUGACGUUAGCGACAGAAGAAGCACCGGCUAACUCCGUGCCAGCAGCCGCGGUAAUACGGAGGGUGCGAGCGUUAAUCGGAAUUACUGGGCGUAAAGGGCACGCAGGCGGUUAAUUAAGUUGGAUGUGAAAUCCCCGGGCUUAACCUGGGAAUGGCAUUCAAGACUGGUUAGCUAGAGUCUUGUAGAGGGGGGUAGAAUUCCAUGUGUAGCGGUGAAAUGCGUAGAGAUGUGGAGGAAUACCGGUGGGCGAAGGCGGCCCCUGGGACAAAGGACUGACGCUCAUGUGCGAAAGCGUGGGGAGCAAACAGGGAUUAGAUA